rnacentral:tRNA from 2 species
AAGGCCUUAGCUUAAUUAAAGUGUCUGGGUUGCAUUCAGAAUAUGUGGGAUAGAGUCCUGCAGGCCUUA